GCACAUGUCGAUUACUGUCAGAUCGGUGGCAAUAAGCGUGCACAAUUUAUUUGGCAGUUAGCUAAUUUAAUUGGCAACCGGCAACGCGUGCGCUUUUGACUGGUAAAAAUGAUGCACAGAACACAGCGGCAGUUCGCAAAUGAUACGCGUUGGGCGAAAUGUUUUCAGUUGAUCCUUGUGGGACUGAAUUCCUUCAGCGACUGCCGGCCUAUUACGGAAGGUGACAAUGCAGACAUUGAGGAGAAUGGGCGCUAUUCGUUGACGCUGUUGGAGGGCGGGAUUCUGCGCGUGGACACGAUGACCACGCUGGAGGCGGUACGGUAUGCUUAGCAAUAAUCUCUCCAGGAACUAAUGCACACGCUGGGCUUCCUGCACGAACACGCCUGGACGGACCGCGACGCGUACAUGUCGGUGCACAUGCAUGGACAAUCUCAUCGACUGUACGACUUUACACCUGUAUUACUUAUCCAGUUUCCCUAAAUCUCUUAUAGCGGAGGCCGUGCGAAACAACUUCCAGAACGGGUAUGUUAACGCCAGCACGUUGGGGUGGCCCUACGAUUACCAUUCCAUUAUGCACUACCCUUCCACCGCCUUCGGGAAAACCCCGUUGACCGUGACCAUCACCCCGAAACGAUCCUUUCCCAUUGGACAAAAUUAAAAUCUAAGCUACACGGAUAUAAUUCAUAUCCACGAAGCGUACAACUGUUCCGUGGAACACAAAGAAGAGGUCUUCCUGGUGGGUGAGUACCAUGCGUAUAACCAGUCGCAAGCCGAGCAUGUUUGCCACACGGUGGGCGCGGUGCUCGCGACGAAAUCACAGUUGCAAACAGCGCGGGACGCCGGCGCCAGUUGGUGUCUGUACGGUUGGCUGGUGGACGAUAUGACGGCGCCCACUUCCCCAAUAACAUGCAUGCACGCCCACCCGGAUGGCUGGUCCGGUCAGAUCGGGCGGAUUAGCCGGGUCGAAGAGGAGUUUUGUCACGGUUUUGUCACGACGGCCGGUUUCUGGCGACGUGUUACGGGGUCAAGUUGCGGAAGGAGCGAAGUUGGGAUGUGCCGGUGCAUCCUAACAGUUUUUGUGGAGUACACACGACCGCACUGUACGGCAGACCGAUGCAGUGAAUUUACCAGUUAUUUAAUAUUGUAACAUCAUGUUAUUUGUUACAUCUCCUUAAAAAGA